UACGAAGGGGGCUAGCGUUGCUCGGAAUUACUGGGCGUAAAGCGCACGUAGGCGGUCUUUUAAGUCGGGGGUGAAAUCCUGGAGCUCAACUCCAGAACUGCCUUCGAUACUGGAAGACUCGAGUCCGGGAGAGGUGAGUGGAACUGCGAGUGUAGAGGUGAAAUUCGUAGAUAUUCGCAAGAACACCAGUGGCGAAGGCGGCUCACUGGCCCGGUACUGACGCUGAGACGCGAAAGCGUGGGGAGCGAACGAGG
rnacentral:rRNA from 1 species